rnacentral:rRNA from 1 species
CCUACGGGGGGCAGCAGUGAGGAAUAUUGGUCAAUGGGCGCGAGUCUGAACCAGCCAAGUAGCGUGAAGGAUGACUGCCCUACGGGUUGUAAACUUCUUUUAUAUGGGAAUAACAUGUUCCACGUGUGGCAUUUUGUAUGUACCAUAUGAAUAAGGAUCGGCUAACUCCGUGCCAGCAGCCGCGGUAAUACGGAGGAUCCGAGCGUUAUCCGGCUUUAUUGGGUUUAAAGGGAGCGUAGGUGGAUUGUUAAGUCAGUUGUGAAAGUUUGCGGCUCAACCGUAAAAUUGCAGUUGAAACUGGCAGUCUUGAGUACAGUAGAGGUGGGCGGAAUUCGUGGUGUAGCGGUGAAAUGCUUAGAUAUCACGAAGAACUCCGAUUGCGAAGGCAGUUCACUGGACUGCAACUGACACUGAGGCUCGAAAGUGUGGGUAUCAAACAGGAUUAGAUACCCCAGUAGUC